ensembl:snRNA U4 U4 spliceosomal RNA
AGCUUUGUGCAGUGCAGUAUCGUAGCCCAUAAGAUUUAUCCGAGGCAUGAUUAUUGCUAAUUGUAAACUUUUCCCAAUACCCCCACCAUGACGACUUGAGAUAUAGUUGGCAUUGGCAAUUUUUAACAGUUUCUGCAGGAA